rnacentral:rRNA from 1 species
GAUGAACGCUAGCGGCAGGCCUAAUACAUGCAAGCCGAACGGCAAGUUUGAUAGCAAUAUUGGACCUAGAGUGGCGCAAGGGUGCGUAACACGUAUGCAACCUGCCCGCGACAGGAGGAUAGCUCCCCGAAAGGGGAAUUAACCCUCCAUAACACCAUGAGAAGGCAUCUGAUUAUGGUUAAACCGCAAGGUUUCGCGGAUGGGCAUGCGGUUGAUUAGCUAGUUGGCGGGGUAAAGGCCCACCAAGGCGGUGAUCAAUAGGGGUUCUGAGAGGAAGGUCCCCCAAACUGGCACUGGGAUACGGGCCAGACUCCUACGGGAGGCAGCAGUAGGGAAUAUUGGACAAUGGUUGCAAGACUGAUCCAGCCAUGCCGCGUGCAGGAAGAAGGCCUUCUGGGUCGUAAACUGCUUUUACCUGUGGAUAAAAUACCCGUGCGCGGGGAAUUGAAGGUAACAGGGGAAUAAGCCACGGCUAACUACGUG